UACGGGGGGAGCAAGCGUUGUUCGGAUUUACUGGGCGUAAAGGGCGCGUAGGCGGUCAGCACAAGUCAGUUGUGAAAUCUCCGGGCUUAACUCGGAAAGGUCAACUGAUACUGUGCGACUAGAGUGCAGAAGGGGCAACUGGAAUUCUCGGUGUAGCGGCGAAAUGCGUAGAUAUCGAGAGGAACACCUGCGGCGAAGGCGGGUUGCUGGGCUGACACUGACGCUGAUGCGCGAAAGCCAGGGGAGCGAACGGG
rnacentral:rRNA from 1 species